CAGGUUGCUAGAUUAAUGUCUAAAGCUUG
rnacentral:piRNA from 1 species